UACGUAGGGUGCAAGCGUUGUCCGGAAUUAUUGGGCGUAAAGGGCUCGUAGGCGGCCAACUAAGUCAGACGUGAAAUCCCUCGGCUUAACCGGGGAACUGCGUCUGAUACUGGAUGGCUUGAGUUCGGGAGAGGGAUGCGGAAUUCCAGGUGUAGCGGUGAAAUGCGUAGAUAUCUGGAGGAACACCGGUGGCGAAGGCGGCAUCCUGGACCGACACUGACGCUGAGGAGCGAAAGCCAGGGGAGCAAACGGG
rnacentral:rRNA from 1 species